ACUAACAAGGAUUCCCCUAGUAACUGCGAGUGAAGCGGGAAAAGCUCAAAUUUAAAAUCUGUCAGCCUUUGGCUGUCCGAGUUGUAAUCUAGAGAAGUGUUAUCCGCGCUGGACCGUGUACAAGUCUCCUGGAAUGGAGCGUCAUAGAGGGUGAGAAUCCCGUCUUUGACACGGACUGCCAGGGCUUUGUGAUGCGCUCUCAAAGAGUCGAGUUGUUUGGGAAUGCAGCUCAAAAUGGGUGGUAAAUUCCAUCUAAAGCUAAAUAUUGGCGAGAGACCGAUAGCGAACAAGUACCGUGAGGGAAAGAUGAAAAGAACUUUGGAAAGAGAGUUAAACAGUACGUGAAAUUGCUGAAAGGGAAACGCUUGAAGUCAGUCGCGUUGUCCAGGGAUCAACCUUGCUUUUGCUUGGUGUACUUUCUGGUUAACGGGUCAGCAUCAAUUUUGACUGUUGGAAAAAGAUCAGGGGAAUGUGGCAUCUUCGGAUGUGUUAUAGCCCUUGGUUGCAUACAAUGGUUGGGAUUGAGGAACUCAGCACGCCGCAAGGCCGGGUUUUAACCACGUACGUGCUUAGGAUGCUGGCAUAAUGGCUUUAAUCGACCCGUCUUGAAACACGGACCAAGGAGUCUAACAUGCCUGCGAGUGUUUGGGUGGAAAACCCGAGCGCGUAAUGAAAGUGAAAGUUGAGAUCCUUGUCAUGGGGAGCAUCGACGCCCGGACCAGACCUUUUGUGACGGUUCCGCGGUAGAGCAUGUAUGUUGGGACCCGAAAGAUGGUGAACUAUGCCUGAAUAGGGUGAAGCCAGAGGAAACUCUGGUGGAGGCUCGUAGCGAUUCUGACGUGCAAAUCGAUCGUCAAAUUUGGGUAUAGGGGCGAAAGACUAAUCGAACCAUCUAGUAGCUGGUUCC
rnacentral:rRNA from 1 species